rnacentral:rRNA from 1 species
UACGUAGGUGACAAGCGUUGUCCGGAUUUACCGGGUGUAAAGGGCGCGUAGGCGGGAUAGCAAGUCAGUCGUGAAAUGCCGAGGCUUAACCUCGGAGCUGCGAUUGAAACUGUUAUUCUUGAGUAUCGGAGAGGAAAGCGGAAUUCCUAGUGUAGCGGUGAAAUGCGUAGAUAUUAGGAGGAACACCAGUGGCGAAGGCGGCUUUCUGGACGACAACUGACGCUGAGGCGCGAAAGUGUGGGGAGCAAACAGG